GCUUCUGUAUUGAAACGAGCUACGUACUCUCUAAGCGAUUCCUCCCGUCUUUGCCUUACUGUUUCCAGAUAACUCGUCUUCCUAUCCGCUGGCACCCCGGUGAUGAACCGGCUAAUGAAACGAGUGGCUAGGUCUCCAAAACUCCCAAUGCUUCCAGUCUCCAGGCUGUUGAACCACGCUCGCGCUGGCCCUGAAAGUGUCGUUGGGAAUACCUUGCACAUCAAGGCAUCCGAUAAAGUUUGUAAUUCCAUGAAGGUCUUGUAAUUCAUGACGUGCUCCCUUGGGUUACCAGCUCAUCUUAUGAUGUAUCGCCCAUUGGGGCAUUGAUGAGAUCCCACAGAGGGAUCAUGAUUAUGAUUAUGGCUAUGUGCAGUGCAUGUUCAGGUUGAGUUGGAUGUAUGAAAGAAAAGUUUUAAAUUUUUUUUAUGUAUGUUGUGAUCAUGUAUGGGAUUAAACAGGUUUUCAGGUUGC
rnacentral:lncRNA from 1 species